CAAUGUGUCAAUGUUUUGACUUUUAUAUGUCUGGUGUGGCGGUUUGCAAUGAUAGAUGUAAAACCUAAUUUCGCAGAGUGAGUUUGAUGGAGUCCACACAAUUACAGUAACCACCCGAGAUAACACAGAGCGCAAAAGACAGGUCACCAAGGACAAAUUAUGAAAUGGUCAUCCAUAGAGAAUGGAAAUCCCCACGGGAUUCUCAGAGGAGAUUGUUUCCUGAAGCAGGAGUCUGGAAUGCAACAACAAGUCUGGGCUUGCUGCCUGUCACCUGAGUCUCCCAUUGGAAUGUACACCUACCCCCAUCUAUAUGCACAUGCAGACACAAUCGUGCAUGUACACGCACGCACACACAUACACACACACACGUGAAAGCAGGUGAACACAAAUGCGUGUGCGCACAGACACACGAGUGUGAGUGCACACAGACACGCAUGCACGCAAAGCACGCACACACACACACACACACACACACACACACACACACACACACACACACACACACACACACACACACAAAAACACCCACCCACAGAGAGGAUCUACAUACAUCCAUGUAUUUCUAUGUGGUAACUUGUGGCAACUUUAUCUGUAUGUAAGUGUGAAAUUGCAAAGGCAUUGUGUAAAAUUGCUCACACAAAAAACGGAACUGGGUUAAGUGUAAAAACAACUCCAGCAGAGAUCUUGACAUAAGAUGAGAGUGUUCACGUCAGCGGAUAGAAGACACCCACCUCCCCGCCACGCUAACCCCUUAAACACCUCUCCUCUCACAUGUAUUCACACAGCAGUUCCAAUGGGAAUACACAGGUAGCCAUAAUGCUCAAACAUUUACAGCAACACUGUUCAGGCCCUAGCCUCAUACUUCUCAUGAGCAUAAAUACAUCAGACGUGUUGAUGUUCUAGGGGAACUAAGCCACAGACAGACAGAUAGAUAGCAGCAAAGGAACACCAGUCAUGAAAGACACCGGUCACAUCAGCCUGACCCCCCACAGUGGCCUCCCCAUAAUCUUACCAUGCGCCAUCUAUCACAGUAUGCUUUACUGUGGGAUGAAGUCACUUUGCCAUAGUGCACCCUGCUUUUUAUUGGUCUUCCCACUGGAUGUUUCCCUCAGAGCCCCUGGGGCAUGCUGGGAAUAGAAAUGAAGUAGCUGAGCGGCCUAUAAUUCUCAGGCAUUCUGACUCAGUAAGGGGUCCACUGCACUUCAGCCAUUCCAGAAAGAGAUUCAAGAAAGAGACUCGAGAGAGAGAGCGAGCCAGAGAGAGAGAGAGCGAGCCAGAGAGAGCGAGCCAGGGAGAGCCAGAGGACUAAUUUGGGUGAAACAGGGCAAGGAUGGUAAAUUAGCAUAAGAAAGAUUUUUAAAAAGAUAGACUACUAGGUUGUACUCUUUAACUGUCUUAUUAUACAGAUUUAACAUUUGUAAAAGCCUUUGAGUCCUCUUUAUUUGGAGAGGGCAAAUUAAAAAGGACGGACAAUGUGUGUGUGCACCCUGGACCAUUAGCACCCUGUCUGGCUGCCUCCUCAUCUGUCACAAUUAUUCUUUCUAUUCUAUUAUUUUAUUCUUCACAACCAAUAUACAUCACUUUAUCUUUUUAAUCAAUGGCACCAACACAUAAACAGAUACUCAGACACAAAGGGCAAAGUUUUAUAAAGAGAAAUAGUUAACAACGUUAACAGAUUACAUUAGCACUCUUGGAUACUAGUACUGUAAUCUAAAUUGGUUUAGCUAAUUAGGGUCAGUAAGGGCACAACUGAUCAGUGGUCAACAGAGGUUCUUUACUGUCCAGACACAGAGGGUGGUUGACAGCUUGGGAGUAGUUAACAAGAUAGAGUAUACUGUCUGGUCUGGGUGACACUUGAAAACCAUUGCCACAGUGGCCCUUGUACAAUCAUCAUGUGAGAUAGAAUAACGCUAUUAUACGCUAUUUGGGAGAUGUCAUUUGACAUUUGAAAGAGGGUAGACAUCUGCAUCCAGACUGAAAGAAGCAACACUGCAAUACCAAACCCCAGCAAUUUCCCAACCAGUGACUUUCCACUUAAAUAAUUACUCAGGCAAAUCAGGGGCAGAGUUACACGACACAGACGGGACGGAAUGGAAAAUGCCGUCUGUAAUCUCUUUCACACUCUUGCUCUCUCCCUGGGAGGUGUGUGUGUGUGAGGGUGUGUGCGCGCCCUUGAAGCUGGUAGACAUUAACCUCAUAGCGAGACAGCGCCAGCCUGACAUAUGAAGGGUAAAAGUUGAACAUGUGUGACUGUCCUCCCAGCCAUGUUUACCAGGACGCCCUCAAAAUGUGGUAUUGGAACUGACCCAGUGUAUAUACAGUACCUUCGGAAAGUGUUCAUAACCCUUGACUUAGUCCACAUUUUUUUUUGUGUUACAGCCUGUAUUAAAAUUUAUGAAAUUAAGAUUUAAGAUACACAAAAUACCCCAUAAAGACAAAGUGAAAACAUGUUUUUUGUUAUUUUAGCAAAUGUAUUGAAAAUGAAACACAGAAAUAUUUCAUUUACAAAAGUAUUCAUACCCCUGAGUCAAUACAUCUUAAAAUCAAUUUUGGCAGCGAUUACAGCUGUGAGUCUUUCCGGGUAAGUCUCAAUCGUUUAUUUAUUUAUUUUUUAAACAUUUUUAUUUGACCUUUAUUUAACUAGGCAAAACAGUUUUAAAGGUUUUCCUCUAGGAUUUUGCUUGAAAAUAUGGAUAGUGGUACCUAGUAAUGUGUUGUAUGGGAUUUGCCCCUAACAUAACACUUUGCAUUCAGGACAAAAAGUUAAUUGCUUUGCCACAUUUCUUGCAGUAUUACGCACUGAAGCAUGCAUGAGACCACCAGCUGUUCCGGAUGACUGUGUUAUAACCCUCUCCAUAGCCGAUGUGAGCAAGACCUUUAAACAGAUCAACAUUCACAAGGCCGCGGGGCCAGACGGAUUACCAGGACGUGUACUCAGAGUAUGUGCGGACCAACUGGCAAGUGGCUUCAAGCAGACCACCAUAGUCCCUGUGCCCACGAAAGCGAACGAAGGUAACCUGCCUAAAUGACUACCGCCCCAUAGCACUCACAUUGGUAGCCAUGAAGUGCUUUGAAAGGCUGGUCAUGGCUUA
rnacentral:lncRNA from 1 species